rnacentral:rRNA from 1 species
UGGGGAAUAUUGCACAAUGGCGAAAGCCUGAUGCAGCAACGCCGCGUGCGGGAUGACGGGCCUUCGGGUUGUAAAUCCGCUUUCAGCAGGGACGAAGGUUUUCUGACGGUACCUGCAGAAGAAGCACCGGCUAACUACGUGCCAGCAGCCGCGGUGAUACGUAGGGUGCGAGCGUUGUCCGGAAUUAUUGGGCGUAAAGAGCUUGUAGGCGGUCCGUUGCGUCGGAAGUGAAAACUCAGGGCUUAACCCCUGAGCCUGCUUUCGAUACGGGCGGACUUGAGGGAUGUAGGGAGAACGGAAUUCCUGGUGGAGCGGUGGAAUGCGCAGAUAUCAGGAGGAACACCAGUGGCGAAGGCGGUUCUCUGGACAUUUCCUGACGCUGAGAAGCGAAAAGCGUGGGGAGCAAAACAGGCUUAGAUACCCUGGUAGUCCACGCCGUAAACGGUGGGCACUAGGUGUGGGACCCAUUCCACGGGUUCCGUGCCGUAGCUAACGCAUU